rnacentral:rRNA from 1 species
UACGUAGGGUGCGAGCGUUGUCCGGAAUUAUUGGGCGUAAAGAGCUCGUAGGCGGUGUGUCACGUCGGUCGUGAAAACCUGGGGCUUAACUCUGGGCUUGCGGUCGAUACGGGCAUCACUUGAGUUCGGCAGGGGAGACUGGAAUUCCUGGUGUAGCGGUGAAAUGCGCAGAUAUCAGGAGGAACACCGGUGGCGAAGGCGGAUCUCUGGGCCUUACCUGACGCUCAGGUGCGAAAGCUAGGGGAGCAAACAGG